CAGACUCAAGGCACGCCACCCCUACAACAUGGCAGCACAAGAGAUGCUCAUUUCCAUCCCUGAAGACAUCUCCAGAGAUGCCUGGCUGGCAGCAGCUUGGAAGCAGGAGUGGGAGGCAGCUGGCCCCUCCCUCAUGCACAGUUAUGUCUGGGAACCAGGAGACGGCGCCAUAGGAGGAGACGAACUACCUCGCCAGCAGUGGACCACACUGAACCGCUUAAGAACUGGUGUUGGGCGCUUCAACAUGUCUAGUGGGGUCUGGCGGACAGUGCGGCAUGCGAGUGCGGAGCCCUCGAGCAGACAGCCGACCACACCAUCAACACCUACACCAACAUAUAGACCACCCUCAGAGGCCGGCCUCUUCGACCUGGGACCAGAGAUGCUGGCGUGGCUCCACGACACCAAGUUGGAGCGCUGACGUUACACGAGAGAGAGAGCGAGAGAGAGAGCGAGAGAGAGAGAGAGAGAGAGAGAGAGAGAGAGAGAGAGAGAGAGACUCCCAAACCAGGGUGGCAAGAAGCAGGACUUCUCAUUCCUCUCACAGGGAGAGCCAAGACUUUCCAAAAGACCUGUACAACGGAGGCCAGCAUCAUGAAACACAAACUCCCAAACCAGCAUGGUAACAUGAAACACAAACUCCCAAACCAGCAUGGUAACACACAGGACUUCUUCUGAUUCUUCUUAUGUUCUUGGGUCUUGCCUGUGGUUCUACACGCAUCCAGAAAUGCAGACAAAGAACAGCUUGGCCUUUAACAGUCGGAAGCCUCUGAUUUUACUCUACUAAGCCUCAGAUACAGUCUGUUUUCUGUUCUCAUUCAGUCAUUCAGUCAUUCAUUCAUUCAUUUAUUUAUUUAUUUAUUUAUUUAUUUAUUUAUUUAUUUAUUUAUUUAUUUAUUUAUUUAUUUAUUUAUUUAUUUAUUUAUUUAUUUAUUUAUUUAUUUAUUUAUUUAUUUAUUAUAUUUUUUGCCUCAAAUUAUGUUUGCAUUAUCUUUUGUAUAACAGCGUCUUCAAUCAUGUUGCACUUAAACUCUUAAAAAAUAACACUGAAAUUAACAUAACAUCCAUCCAUCCAUUCAUUCUCUGAACCGCUUAGUCCCCACGCGGGCCGCGGGUGUGCUGGAUCAUAUCCCAGCCGUCAUCGGGCAGUAGGUGGGGGACGCCCUGAACCGGUUGCCAGCCAAUCGCAGGGCACACAGCGAUUAUUAUCUAUUGAAUCAGUAAAAUACUUGAUAUGUUUUUAUUUGUUAUGUCUUCAGCGUUUUUGAAAGUUAUUUAUAUUAUUUAUUGCAUUACUUCUUUGACUCAAUUAAAAAACCUGUAUUUUGUCCCAA